rfam:Otolemur garnettii contig184844, whole genome shotgun sequence.
CACCAUUUUUGGCAAUGGUAGAACUCACACUGGUGAGGUAAUGGGAUCCGGUGGUUCUAGACUUGCCAACUAUGGUG